GAUGAACGCUGGCGGCGUGCCUAAUACAUGCAAGUCGAGCGAACGGACGAGGAGCUUGCUUUUCUGAUGUUAGCGGCGGACGGGUGAGUAACACGUGGAUAACCUACCUAUAAGACUGGGAUAACUUCGGGAAACCGGAUCUAAUACCGGAUAAUAUUUUGAACCGCGUGGGUCAAAAGUGAAAGACGGUCUUGCUGUCACUUAUAGAUUGAUCCGCGCUGCAUUAGCUAGUUGGUAAGGUAACGGCUUAACAAGGCAACGAUGGAUAGCCGACCUGAGAGGGUGGUCGGCCACACUGGAACUGAGCAACGGCCCAGACUCCUACGGGAGGCCGCAGUAGGGAAUCUUACGCAAUGGGCGAAAGGCUGACGGAGCACCGCGGCGUGAGUGAUGAAGGUCUUCGGCUCGUAAAACUAUGUUAUUAGUGAAGAACAUAUGUGUAAGUACCUGUGCACAUCUUGACGGUACCUAGUCAGAAAGCCACGGCUAACUACGUG
rnacentral:rRNA from 1 species